UACGUAGGGGGCAAGCGUUGUCCGGAAUCAUUGGGCGUAAAGAGCGCGUGGGCGGCCCUGUAAGUCCGCUGUGAAAGUCAAGGGCUCAACCCUUGGAUGCCGGUGGAUACUGCAGGGCUAGAGUCCGGAAGAGGCGAGUGGAAUUCCUGGUGUAGCGGUGAAAUGCGCAGAUAUCAGGAGGAACACCGAUGGCGAAGGCAGCUCGCUGGGACGGUACUGACGCUGAGGCGCGAAAGCGUGGGGAGCAAACAGG
rnacentral:rRNA from 1 species